rnacentral:misc_RNA from 1 species
GUGAAUCAUCGAAUCUUUGAACGCAAAUUGCACUCUCUGGCAUUCCGGGCAGUAUGCCUGUUUGAGGGUCAGUUUCAAUAAAAAUAUAGGUGUGGCUGUUUAGUGUCCCGGCGGAAUUGGGUGAUCUUUGACCUUUUAAAAGGUUUAAGGGACCUAAAAUGGAUACCUUUUUCAACUUAGAGGUACAUAAGAAUAUUUUUUUAUCCGUCCGGAGUUGCCACCUUUUUAUUAUGUAUUACCAUGCUGUUG